rnacentral:lncRNA from 1 species
AAACCUUGUACCAAAUCAUGCAAGGUUGUAAAUCAUGACUGCAAAUCAUCCCUUGUGCCCUCUGACUCCGCGAAUGUCGCCUAUAUCUCCCUAUUUCAUCAAAUGAAUUCAAAAUCUCUAGUUUUCUAACUUUGACUCAAAGAUGAAACUUCAAGUCUUCAAGAUCUUCUUGUGCUGCAACAAAAUCAGAGCAUGCAUGAGCAUGUCAUUAUGUUUAUUCGAAAAUCAGAGGUCAAUUGCAAUGACCUAUGGAUUUUUGGUCUUUGUCCGAUGGUUUUCUCACCUACGACGGUUGUCUUUCACUCAGGUAAAUCUCCUACGAUUUUUCCCUCUGAUCUUUUGAUUUUCAAUUAUUUUGCUCGCAUCAUCAAUCUCUCUGUCACUCACCACUAUCGAUUUGAAUUUUGUUGAACCCUAAGGCUUAAAUGGCCACUAUAAAUAGGAGCCUUCAAUGCUCUCACCUAACACGACCUACCACCUAAUACAACAUAGAAAACGAAAGAUAAUUAAAAAGCCCUAGACUUUUCACUGAUUUUCUUUCCUUCUCCAGUUCUGAGUUCAUACACUGUCCGAGCUUGAGUUUGGCUUCUUAAUGACUAAACAAAAGGUUUUUCUUGGUUUGCUGCUUUAUAGAAGGUCAAUGUAUACUUACCCUCUCUUUUCUUUCAGUUAUAUGUGUUUAUUUAGUGAUUUUGAUGUCUUCUCUUUGUUUAUGAUGCAUGUUGGAAAUUGCUUGAUUGCCUGUUGUGUUUUCUGCCGUUCUUAUUAUCCUAAUUGCUUAUCCUCAUAAUACCCCCUGAUUUCUUUAGUGUUGCUAGUUAAUCUGUGACUUAGUUGGAUAACACCUGCUAUAAUAAAUGAUAAAAAUUAUGUUGAACUCUUGUGACUUCCGAUGUUCUUUUAACCAUGCCACCAUGUUAACUUGACUGAACUGUGAUCUUAGACCUAUACGAUGUUUUUGCUAGAAACUUAUAUUUGCUACUUCUAUAUUACACUAAUUAGGGGGUUAAUGAUGUUAUGCUACUUGUUGAUCGAUGACAUACUUAACUUGUAUAUUUUGAACCAUAUUUAUUAUGUACACUUAAGGAUCCAAUAUACGUUUGUUAUUGUAGUCUGAACUCACUAGUUUAGUUGUCUGGCCACUUGCCUUUCAAACAUGCCAUG